rnacentral:rRNA from 1 species
AGAGUUUGAUCCUGGCUCAGGAUGAACGCUGGCGGCGUGCCUAACACAUGCAAGUUGAGCGAUUUACUUCGGUAAAGAGCGGCGGACGGGUGAGUAACGCGUGGGUAACCUACCCUGUACACACGGAUAACAUACCGAAAGGUAUGCUAAUACGGGAUAAUAUAUUUGAGAGGCAUCUCUUGAAUAUCAAAGGUGAGCCAGUACAGGAUGGACCCGCGUCUGAUUAGUAGUUGGUAAGGUAACGGCUUACCAAGGCGACGAUCAGUAGCCGACCUGAGAGGGUGAUCGGCCACAUUGGAACUGAGACACGGUCCAAACUCCUACGGGAGGCAGCAGUGGGGAAUAUUGCACAAUGGGCGAAAGCCUGAUGCAGCAACGCCGCGUGAGUGAUGAAGGCCUUCGGGUCGUAAAACUCUGUCCUCAAGGAAGAUAAUGACGGUACUUGAGGAGGAAGCCCCGGCUAACUACGUGCCAGCAGCCGCGGUAAUACGUAGGGGGCUAGCGUUAUCCGGAUUUACUGGGCGUAAAGGGUGCGUAGGCGGUCUUUCAAGUCAGGAGUGAAAGGCUACGGCUCAACCGUAGUAAGCUCUUGAAACUGGGAGACUUGAGUGCAGGAGAGGAGAGUGGAAUUCCUAGUGUAGCGGUGAAAUGCGUAGAUAUUAGGAGGAACACCAGUUGCGAAGGCGGCUCUCUGGACUGUAACUGACGCUGAGGCACGAAAGCGUGGGGAGCAAACAGGAUUAGAUACCCUGGUAGUCC